GACGAACGCUGGCGGCGUGCUUAACACAUGCAAGUCGAGCGGUAAGGCCCCUUCGGGGGUACACGAGCGGCGAACGGGUGAGUAACACGUGAGCAAUCUGCCCAUCACAUCGGGAUAACUCCGGGAAACCGAAGCUAAUACCGAAUACGACCACCUCCGGCAUCGGAUGGUGGUGGAAAGUUCCGGCGGUGAUGGAUGAGCUCGCGGCCUAUCAGCUUGUUGGUGGGGUAACGGCCCACCAAGGCUUCGACGGGUAGCCGGCCUGAGAGGGUGACCGGCCACACUGGGACUGAGACACGGCCCAGACUCCUACGGGAGGCAGCAGUGGGGAAUAUUGGACAAUGGGCGAAAGCCUGAUCCAGCAACGCCGCGUGAGGGAUGACGGCCUUCGGGUUGUAAACCUCUUUCAGCAGGGACGAAGCGCAAGUGACGGUACCUGCAGAAGAAGCACCGGCCAACUACGUG
rnacentral:rRNA from 1 species